AUUUUUUCAGGAUCAGCUGAGAUGUUAUUUCACUGGAUUAUUUAAUGGAUAGGCUUAUUGGGCAUAUGGUUGGAUAUCUCUGGAUCAGCUGAGAUGUUAUUUCACUGGAUUAUUUAAUGGAUAGGCUUAUUGGGCAUAUAGUUGAAUAUCUCUGUCCUCAACAUGGAAGAUAUGUUUUGUUCCUAACCAUCUAUAAUCCAUUCUCUAUGAAGUUCAGACUGUCUGCUCUUCCUUUGGAAAUACACAGUUAGUCAAUCAACAUAGAAACACACAAACUUGAAGGAUAUUCUAGUGAGGGCUUAUGGAAAUGAUCUAUGUCUACUCUCAGAAUGGUGAAAGACUAUCAGAUUAUGCAAAGACUAACAGAAUAUCCUCUCUUGGAUCACUGAGACAAGAAAAUAAAACAGAAGGUUGAUGGAGGAUUUAAGAAGAACAUAGAUAAAUAUGAUUUCCAACUAAUUUAACCAGUACAAUCAUAGACUGUGGUUUAUAGGAUGACAAAGAAAGGACCCAGGAUUGUAUUUUUCACUGUCAGACACUGACUAUGGAUAAAGUGUAAUCAUUUAACAAACUGAGAUCUAAUCAAAUCCUAGAAUUGAAAUUGUGAUUUUCUGAUAGCAUGAGCUCUUUAAAAACUAAUUCUCACAGACCUCAAAGUAUCUGAAUGUGACUUUUAUUUUUACCAUUUCAUAUUGAAGACUGUUGUUAUGUAUGGGAAUUACACAUUAAAACCUUUUAUUUUUCAUCUAAUUUUUACAACCCCCUAGAAAUUAACACAGAUAUCCAGAUGCUGGAUUUAAUGUUAUUAUUUAACUUUCCUGGAAUUGUAAAUAUAUUUUGUUUGUGUAUGUAUCAUGUUUAAUUUUGAAUUUAAAAUUGGUCUCAAUAAGACCCCCAAUAAAGAUGCAAGUGUCCCAUAAUCUGUGUUUUAAUAAUAUCUUGAAUAUCUUUAUCAUACCAUAUUCAUCAUACUAAUUACAUAUAGAAUGGUUGUAGGAAUACACUUUGUUGUUAAGGACACUUUGUCAAGGUCAAAGCAUAAGAUUAUUGAGAUGACUUCUUUGACAAUAAUUUGUAACUUACAAACUUCACAUCAUAAGUACACACUCAGAUUUAAGAAUCAAUAAGAUAUUUCUAUAGAGUUUUUGGAUCAUUUACUCCUGGGUAAAAGUUAAUUACUGAGAUUACUGAUUUGAAUCCUGUAAUGCAAUAACUUAAACAUUGUGUAAUAACUUAUAGACUUUAUAAAAAUUAGGUGCAAAUUCUUAGGAAAGGAAUGAAAUGUUAAUCAAAUGUACAAUGUUCAAAGGUGUUUAUAUGACUAUUACUAUGUAAUACCUUGGGUUUCUGUAAAAUUCCUAUAUUCACUACAUAGAUAAAGACCUGUAUAAUAUAUAUUUUAAACUAUGCUGAAGGAAAAAAAAGUCAAAAGCUCUCCCCUUCAUCUCUUUCAUAUUCUGUCAUACACAACAAUAGAUAAAUUGCAGUCUUAUAACAAACUGAUGUCUAAUCAAAUCCUAGAAUUGAUAUUGUGAUUUUCUGAUAGUAUGAGAUCUUAAAAAAAAAUAAUUCCCAGACUUCAAAGUAUCUAAAUGUGACUUUUAUUUUUACUAAUUCAUAUUGAAGACAGUUGUUAUGUAUGAGAAGUAUACAUUUAAACCUUUUAUUUUUCAUCUUAUUUCUACAACCCCUAACAAAUUACACAGAUGUUUAAAAGCUAGCUUUGGUGUAAUUAUUACUUUCCUGGAACUGUAAAUACAUUUUGUUUGUGUAUGUAUGUUUCCUAUUUUGAAUUUAAUAGGUCUCAAUAGGACCCCCAUAAAGAUGUAAGUGUCCCCUGAUCUGUGAAUCUGAUGUAAUAAUAUCUUGAAUAUUUCUAUCAUCCCAUAGACUUCAUGCUUACUACACAGAACAGGUUAGAGUAAUACACUUAGUUUUAUAGGACACUUUGUCAGGGUCAAAGCAUGAGAUUAUUGAGAUAACUACCUUUGACAAUAAUUUGUAACCUGCAAACUUCACAUCAUAAGUAAAAGAAAGAUUCGGAGAUGAUCUAUAGAUUUUUGGAUCAUUUUUCUCCUGGGUAAAAGUCAGU